rnacentral:rRNA from 1 species
UACGGAGGGUGCAAGCGUUAUCCGGAUUCACUGGGGUUAAAGGGUGCGUAGGCGGGUUGGUAAGUCAGUGGUGAAAUCUCCGUGCUUAACAUGGAAACUGCCAUUGAUACUACUGAUCUUGAAUUUUCUGGAGGUAAGCGGAAUAUGUCAUGUAGCGGUGAAAUGCUUAGAUAUGACAUAGAACACCAAUUGCGAAGGCAGCUUGCUACAGGGAUAUUGACACUGAGGCACGAAAGCGUGGGGAUCAAACAGG